AAUGGGUUCUGAGCAACGGAAGAGCAUGAACCUGGUCAGGGGUUUGCGCCAGCAGCCAUAAGUGUCAACUUUCGUGUGUUUAGAAUCCUUUUUG
rnacentral:SRP_RNA from 1 species